rnacentral:ncRNA from 1 species
AUUAGAGUGAUGAUGAGAAUUAGUAAAAUCAAUUUGCAUAUAAAGAGAAGAAGUGGUUGGUGAAAACUUCCUAUGUAAUGAUUUGAAGCUAUCUCUGAACUUUUUUAAGAGAGACACUUUAUUUUAGUGUAAUUAGGGUGGUACCGCGGAAUUAUAGCUUUCGUCCCUUUG